rnacentral:rRNA from 1 species
GAUGAACGCUAGCGGCAGGCCUAACACAUGCAAGUCGAGGGAGAAGCCCUUUCGGGGGCAGAAACCGGCGCACGGGUGCGUAACGCGUAUGCAACCUACCUUUCACAGGGGGAUAGCCCGAAGAAAUUUGGAUUAAUACCCCAUAAUAUUAUUGGAUGGCAUCAUUUGAUAAUUAAAACUGCGGUGGUGAAAGAUGGGCAUGCGUCCUAUUAGCUAGUUGGAGUGGUAACGGCACCCCAAGGCUACGAUAGGUAGGGGUCCUGAGAGGGAGAUCCCCCACACUGGUACUGAGACAGGGACCAGACUCCUACGGGAGGCAGCAGUGAAGAAUAUUGGUCAAUGGUCGGAAGACUGAACCAGCCAUGCCGCGUGCAGGAAGAAUGCCUUAUGGGUUGUAAACUGCUUUUAUAUGGGAAGAAUAAGGUGUACGUGUACAUUGAUGACGGUACCAGAUGAAUAAGCAUCGGCUAACUCCGUG